GAUGAACGCUGGCGGCGUGCCUAAUACAUGCGAGUCGAGCGAACGGACGAGAAGCUUGCUUCUCUGAUGUUAGCGGCGGACGGGUGAGUAACACGUGGAUAACCUACCUAUAAGACUGGGAUAACUUCGGGAAACCGGAGCUAAUACCGGAUAAUAUUUUGAACCGCAUGGUUCAAAAGUGAAAGACGGUCUUGCUGUCACUUAUAGAUGGAUCCGCGCUGCAUUAGAUAGUUGGUAAGGUAACGGCUUACCAAGGCGACGAUGCAUAGCCGACCUGAGAGGGUGAUCGGCCACACUGGAACGGAGACACGGUCCAGACUCCUACGGGAGGCAGCAGUAGGGAAUCUUCCGCAAUGGGCGAAAGCAUGACGGAGCAACGCCGCGUGAGUGAUGAAGGUCUUCGGAUCGUAAAACUCUGUUAUUAGGGAAGAACAUAUGUGUAAGUAACUGUGCACAUCUUGACGGUACCUAAUCAGAAAGCCACGGCUAACUACGUG
rnacentral:rRNA from 1 species